UCCAAACCAUUUAUACUUUUGUACGCCUCUAGAAAGGCAGAAUGUAUAGACACUUUUUUCCAUUUCAGUCAACUCCAGUCUAAAAUCUCAAUUCAAUCCAUUUCACUCAA